rnacentral:rRNA from 1 species
UACGGAGGGUCCAAGCGUUAUUCGGAAUUACUGGGCGUAAAGCGCAUGUAGGCGGUUUCUUAAGUCAGAUGUGAAAGCCCUGGACUCAAUCCAGGAAGUGCAUUUGAUACUGGGAGACUAGAGUGCAGGAGAGGAAAGCGGAAUUCCAGGUGUAGAGGUGAAAUGCGCAGAUAUCUGGAGGAACAACAGAGGCGAAGGCGGCUUUCUGGACUGCAACUGACACUGAGAUGCGAAAGCGUGGGGAGCAAACAGG